rnacentral:rRNA from 1 species
AGCGAACGCUGGCGGCAGGCCUAACACAUGCAAGUCGAACGAACUCUUCGGAGUUAGUGGCGGACGGGUGAGUAACACGUGGGAACGUGCCUUUUGGUUCGGAAUAACUCAGGGAAACUUGUGCUAAUACCGAAUGUGCCCUUCGGGGGAAAGAUUUAUCGCCAUUAGAGCGGGCCGCGUCUGAUUAGCUAGUUGGUGAGGUAACGGCUCACCAAGGCGACGAUCAGUAGCUGGUCUGAGAGGAUGACCAGCCACACUGGGACUGAGACACGGCCCAGACUGCGACGGGAGGCAGCAGUGGGGAAUCUUGCGCAAUGGGCGAAAGCCUGACGAAGCCAUGCGGCGUGAAUGAUGAAGGUCUUAGGAUUGUAAAAUUCUUUCACCGGGGACGAUAAUGACGGUACCCGGAGAAGAAGCCCCGGCUAACUUCGUG